rnacentral:rRNA from 1 species
UGGGGAAUAUUGCACAAUGGGGGAAACCCUGAUGCAGCGACGCCGCGUGAACGAAGAAGGUAUUCGUAUCGUAAAGUUCUGUCCUAUGGGAAGAUAAUGACAGUACCAUAGAAGAGAGCUCCGGCUAAAUACGUGCCAGCAGCCGCGGUAAUACGUAUGGAGCGAGCGUUGUCCGGAAUUAUUGGGCGUAAAGGGUACGCAGGCGGUUUAAUAAGUCGAAUGUUAAAGAUCGGGGCUCAACCCCGCAAAGCAUUGGAAACUGAUAAACUUGAGUAGUGGAGAGGAAAGUGGAAUUCCUAGCGUAGUGGUGAAAUACGUAGAUAUUAGGAGGAAUACCAGUAGCGAAGGCGACUUUCUGGACACAAACUGACGCUGAGGUACGAAAGCGUGGGGAGCAAACAGG